AACCUCAUCAAAUAUUUUCCAGACUGUUUGUAUCCAUUUCUUUUUCAAUUUGGUCUACCCCUCAUUGUCCAAUAAACAAUGUUCAUUCCCACUAGCACCCCAAUCCGUCUUCUGUCUUCCUUUAGUGCCAUUUUGAAUUUAAAUUUUGAGCAUUAAAUUUAUUAAUUCUGUUACUAAUUAACCUCCCCCCUUCCACCUUUCACUCCACCAAUCAAAUUUCUUCUCUAGAUGUUUCCCCAGUUACUCCUCUUUUCCAAUACCACCGCCCCCACUAUCUUUAUUUUGGCCAAUUACAUGUGUGCAUUCCCACUACUAAAUUAAUUGAGGCUCUCAUAUUUACAUCAUGGUAAAUUCAUUUCCUCCUCAGUUCCCCAAUACAAAUGCUAAUUUUUUAAAUUCUGAAUUUGAAAGAACUCAGAUUCCCAAUUCAUCUCCUCAUCUACCUCUUUUCCUUCUUCUUCUAUCUCCAUUUUCCAUGCCUGCAUCCUCUCAGGUUUCUUUGGUUGAAAUUUUCUUUCCCGUUACUCCGCUGCUUCACUGGCAAGGACGAUUUUCAGAGGAACUACAGAUUUGGCAAAUCAAUACAUUUGUAGCAUUACUGGACAUAUGGCCAAUUGGAGAUCAUGUGUUAAUGGUGGCAGAAGCUUUAAAUUUCAAGGUAAGAUUUUGGAGAUGACAUUCAAUAUUGUUUCUGCUGUCAAGGUCCAAAGAUUUCAAUUCAAUAACAUUUAAUUUUAUCAAUGUUAAGAUGCAGGCCCGUGAGCAGAGGAAAGGAAACAAAAUCUGUACAGGACUUACUAAGUCAACUUUCUGGUACAUAUAAUGAUGAGUUUGAUGGAGAAAAUUAGAAUGCUUCUGCCUUCCUUCCACAGGUUGUCAUUGGAAAGAUGAAUGCUUAGUCCAUAGAGCAAUGUAAGAAGUUUGGGAAUUGGUCGUCGAAUGCCAUACUUUCUGGCUUUUCGAGGAAGAGAUGUUACAACAUUACAUCCAAAUAUGCAAGAACAAUAGACUCAUUAUGUUAAGUGAAAUUAGCUAAUGAAGUUUAUCAAGAAUGUUAGCUGUCACUGAAAUGGACUAUGAAGAUUUAGAACUAUCAUAGAUACUAAUGCGAUAAAUAAUUCUGAGGCAGGUUAUUGAGGUGACACUUUGAUAUGAUGAAUUGAUGACAAUUUUAAAGGACCAAUGAUGAAAUAUUCGAUGUCACCAUGAUCUUUAGAGUUCGGAGGAUUGAGUUUUCAUUACUCUAGCCUCCUAAUCAGGUUUCAUUGUUAUCAUUAUUGAUAUAUUGUCAGGAAACUUGGCAAUAGGAAAACUCAAACACUUUAUUAGAUGUGUUCAUAACUUCUACAAAUUUAUAGUGGAACUCUUUGGAUCAUGAAAAGUUAACUCAUAUAUUUAGGAGGUAAUUAUCUUAUAGUGCAA